ensembl:miRNA ocu-mir-190b ocu-mir-190b
UGAUAUGUUUGAUAUUGGGUUGUUUAAUUAGGAACCAACUAAAUGUCAAACAUAUUCUU